rnacentral:rRNA from 1 species
CACGUAGGGCGCAAGCGUUGUCCGGAAUUAUUGGGCGUAAAGAGCUCGUAGGCGGUCUGUUGCGUCCGCUGUGAAAACUCGGGGCUUAACCCCGAGCCUGCAGUGGAUACGGGCAGACUAGAGGUAGGUAGGGGAGAAUGGAAUUCCCGGUGUAGCGGUGAAAUGCGCAGAUAUCGGGAGGAACACCGGUGGCGAAGGCGGUUCUCUGGGAAUGACCUGACGCUGAGGAGCGAAAGUGUGGGGAGCGAACAGG